CAAAGGCACCCUAUUUCACUGAAAUGCCUUCUAUAUUCCGUACCCUCCAAGUGGAUUGUAGACCUUCUAAGGUCUUUUGACAUCUGCGUAUCUCUAGCACAGCACUUAUCACGGUGAUUAUUUAUCUGUUCAUCUUUCCAAGUAGACACUCUCAUUUUAACUCCCUACCCUAGUCGCCAGCAUCCCCAGCAUAGUGCCUGUCAUAAAAUGGUGCCACAAUGAAAAUUUGAAAAAUGAAUGAAUUGAACGUGAUAAACAUAGAUGAGAAUCCUAUAUUCUAUAAUUUUUUAAAUGUACUGAAAUUAUUCUUUUUGAAUCCUAUUCAUUUCUGUGACUUCUUUGGUGACAAAGUUAGAAAAAAGUGGAGGUCAGUAGGGAGAUAUGAAGGGACGCCGGUGGAAGCAGUGAGCCUGGGCGGGUGAUGGAGUGGGAGAUACGUGGCACAGGGGUCAGUUGAGUUAAUCUGGGCUCAUUCAGAGAAUGGAAGGUGUGUGCCAAGAAAACUGGUUGGAUAGGGAUAGGUCAGGGAUUCCCUCUUGCAUUCUCACACUUGGGGGCAGGCGUCUGCUUUUCCCAAGUUUAAUUUCUCUCCAUUUGACCUUUUAAGGAUGUGAAUUGGCUUUAAGCAGUAGACUCCCUUUAGUACGGCACUGUGAGCCUCUCAGUGAAUCUGCUACAUCCAUUCCACCCACGGGUCUGGAAACUUGUCUGUUUACCUUUCCCUAAAAACCUAAGAUAUAUUUUUAAGAAGUGCCUUGUAACUUUUCAUAUAGCCUUUCCCCUACUUUGGGUAGACUGUUUCUUACAGGAAUUUGGUAGAUCUUUCCAAAGAGAAUUCUGUAUCUCUAUUUUUAAAGCAUAAAUCCUGUCAACUUUGGAGGAGAACUGAUUUGGCUUGAGUUUUCUCAGACAUGGGAACUUUUGACCUAAGUUUGUAUUUUACAUUGUUGAAAGGGAACUCCGGGAUCCCAGAAAACAUAUGGACUGCAAUUGGGUAAAGUUUCUGUUUGAGUACUUAUUCCUACUUACUAGCCGUUUAAUCUUGGUCAAGUCAGCCAUGUGGCUCUCAACUUCCUCAUCUGUAACAUAAAAGGAUUAGAGUAGACAAUCUCUAACAAAUGCUAUAAUACCACUGACAAAUAAUAAUAUUAGCUAAUAUGUGUAAGGCACUGUGUUUAGUGCUUUUUCCCUUAAUACAAUAGCUUUGAGAUAUAAUUUAUAUACCAUACAAUUUACUUCUUAAAAAAGUACACAAUUCAGUAAUUUUAGUAGAUAGGAGUAACCAUCACCACAGUCAAUUCUAGAAUAUUUUUAUACAUCAGAAGAAACCCUUUACCCAUUAUCAAUUACUUUCCAUUCCUCCUAACUCCCUCCCAGCCCUAGGCAACU
rnacentral:lncRNA from 1 species